GACGAACGCUGGCGGCGUGCUUAACACAUGCAAGUCGAACGGAAAGGCCCUGCUUUUGUGGGGUGCUCGAGUGGCGAACGGGUGAGUAACACGUGAGUAACCUGCCCUUGACUUUGGGAUAACUUCAGGAAACUGGGGCUAAUACCGGAUAGGAGCUCCUGCUGCAUGGUGGGGGUUGGAGAGUUUCGGCGGUUGGGGAUGGACUCGCGGCUUAUCAGCUUGUUGGUGGGGUAGUGGCUUACCAAGGCUUUGACGGGUAGCCGGCCUGAGAGGGUGACCGGCCACAUUGGGACCGAGAUACGGCCCAGACUCCUACGGGAGGCAGCAGUGGGGAAUAUUGCACAAUGGGCGGAAGCCUGAUGCAGCAACGCCGCGUGCGGGAUGACGGCCUUCGGGUUGUAAACCGCUUUCGCCUGUGACGAAGCGUGAGUGACGGUAAUGGGUAAAGAAGCACCGGCUAACUACGUG
rnacentral:rRNA from 1 species